GCAAGCACAGGCGUAUCAGUGUUGCAUGACUGGCCCCGCAACCGCGCACGCCUUUGGUAUAUAUGAACCUGCAUAUGUUGCAUGUGAAUAAUAGGCACAUCCUGCCACGCCAGCGAACUUUGCUCUCUAUACACUUGUACAUCGUAUGCACACACAUACACAGUUGCGAAUACACAAUAAUUUGAUCGGGUAAUAACUAUUUGAUUAGGAGCGAUUUUAUGAGCCUUUCUAUUUUAAGUUCUUGUUGCCAUUUUAUUUGCCUUGAAGGUGUUGUUCAUGAGUGUCCGUGCUGGAAGUUGGCAGGCAUAAUUGGUUUGUUUGAUUCUUAGAGGUUCACGUGAUGAUAUAACGAAGAAAAAUCAUAUUUGCCGGGAAAUGUUUUACAAAAAUUCCUCUGGGAGGUGUGAUCUCAGAUGAACCAUCAACUACUUAUCAUGCUCACCGCAAAGAAAAAAGUGUAUCGGCACAACAGCUGUAGUGUCAACAAAUUUGCACAUUUUUUACUGAAAAUUUUAAUUUAACAACUUUAAAUACAUAUAUGUAUACAAACGUA